rnacentral:misc_RNA from 1 species
GUGAAUCAUCGAAUUUUUGAACGCACAUUGCACUUCUUGGUAUUCCGAGGAGUACACAUGCUUGAGGGUCAGUUAAAAAAAAUCGUACAUCAUUGAUGUUGCGGAUCUGUGUAUUCCUAUUUUAUAAUUGGUUACCUAAAAUUAAUAUGUUUAUGUAAUGUCUAGCUUACUAAUUAUAUAGUCGCGAAUCAUUUAUACUUAUAUUACAACUAUACGAAAGUAUAUAGUUGUUGUAUAAAUUAUGAGAAUGACCUCAAGUCAUGUGAGAGUACCCGCUGAACUUAA